UUCUGUCUGAUAUAAUUAUCUGUUCUUAAUUUUAUUUUUCUUAUCUUGUAAUGUCAACUCAAACUUCUUUUACUGGCAACACUUGGCUUAUGCUGUCAUAAGACUUUACUGCCCAAAAUUGAGUAUUAUAAAGCAUGGUUGGUCUUAUUUAUGACUGGUUCAUAAAAAAUGUUAUACACUACCUAUAAUACUAGGAUUGAUUAUUGGCAUGAUGUUAGAAUACUAAGGCUAAGAUUUUGGUAUUAGAGACCCGUUUGGAUUGGCUUAUCUAAGUUUAUCUACUUGCAUAAGAACUAAUGAGACUGUUUGGGAGAGCUUAUAGAACAGCUUAUGACAUGUCUAUAAACUGUUUUCAGCUUAUAGCUUAUAUGAAAACAAUUUGACUUUAUUUUACACUUGUUAUAGACAGGGCUUAUGCAUAAACACUUAUAUGAUAAUCAUUUAUGUUAUAAGCACUUAGUAGUAGUGCUUGAACGGUAAUUGCAGUUCCUAGAAUAAUAGAAUAAAUGAAUAGGUACAUUAGCAUGGUGAUUAUUAUAUCUCACAAUAUCAACACAUCAUUAUACUAUCAUUCAAAGUUCUAUCUCUCUUUUUUAGUCCUCUCUUCAUCCUUACUACCCUACAAUUUAACUGAUAAUAAAAGGGGAUUCUCUUAUCUUAGAUAUGUAGUUGCAGAGUUUCUUAUCUCUAAUCAUAAUAGAGGAUAUACCACAGAAAAAGAAAACAUGCAAUGCAAGAUGCAGUGGAACCAGAUACAAUGAAAGUGGAUAGAAAUAUUACGUUGUUGAGUCUGCCGCUCCGAUGACUCUUGUUCCAUCCCCGCCUGGAGGAAAUUCACCAAAAUAUUGUCACCAUAUCAUUAUCAAUCGCUCGAGUUACUCAAAAGAAACUGAGACAUAUGAAAUAUACAACUCUCAUAUCAACAUGCCCAAUUUUAGGUCCCUUCCACAUUGCCAUGCACACCAACAAAUAUCAAGUGCAUCUAGCAUUCGUAAAAUCUACAGGGUACAGAGCAUUGAAAUUUUUGGCUACACUGUUUAUGUUGGAGUCAAAUGAGACAGAGAAAUAAGAAUUUCAAUCUCAACUUUUUCUUCGAUGAAUUCUUUUACAUUUAAAUUUCUUGUAUAGUCUUUACUUUCCUAACUUCACCUUAUCAUUCUUUUCUCUGUAUCAAAGUUCAAGCAUGGGUUGCAUCUGCUUCUAUUUCUGUGCAAGAUAUUGAAUCUACAACCCAAUUUGACUUGCUCUUAACAAGUUACACAAUUCUGUUGGUGCAAAUAUAAGAGCAUGUGUCGCUGAGAAUUAAGUAUGGUUUUCUUUCUUCUCUGGCUACAAUUAACUUGCCUCAUUUUCAAUCAUCUACACUAGGGAUGGAAAAAUAUCCGCACGAAUUACUGGCAAUGGAGGGGAAAAUGGAUAUCUAUUGGCCAUUGUGCAGGGGAUGAACCCAUAUCAAUCACCACGCCCCCCAUUGUCAUCCCUAAUCCCAAUAUAGAGCUUCCAUCAAGAAGACGUCGAGUAUAAAGUAGACAAUGAUUAAACUAAGACAGAAACCACAUAGCAUUCAGAAAGUGCCUAAAUACUUUAAACAAAUAUCCAACAUAUAAAUAUGGCCUGAAGAUAUUAUCAUCGUAACAAUAAUUCCAUUUUAUGAUCAACUAUGUACAUUAGUUGGCUUUACUUUAAGGUAUACUCAAAGAGGAAAUAAUAAAAGAAAACAUAUUAAGUUUACUGAUGAACUUUAAUUUUAUCAAAUUUUCAAAUUUGGACAAAAUAUCAUCCUAACCAAAUUAACUAAAAUCUCUAACUGUCUAAUAUGUUAUAUUUUGUUCAACAAAAGAUAUACAUUGUAUGCAGUCCAGUGUCUAAAUGAAAUGAAAACAUACCUUGUGAAUCCAUGCGCUGAUCUCCUGUCCCCUGAAAUAAGACAUUCAAAAUAUAAGCAAUAUAAAAGAAAUAAAGUAAUUGCUUUUCUCUGUUGUUUGCAUCAAUUUCCUCUGUUUGAUCAUAAGUCUUUUAUUACCUGUGAAUAUAUCUUUCGUGCAGCUUCCAAUUGAGACAUCUCUGCAUCAAAGGUGUUCACCAUUUCUAAAACUUCUGGCAUGCCGACAUACCGCACAAACCUGUGAGCAUCAUCAACACCAACCAGCCAAAAAGUAAAUCAAAAGGUUCACCGGAUGCAAACAAAUCAAAUCCUAUGAAAGUUGACAUGAACUUCACCUCUCAAACGUUCCUUUUGUAAACCAUGUCUCGGCAUUUCUACGUCUAUCAAUUUCUAGCCUGAUUGACUGCACAGAAUGUGCAGCCUGCUCCUCUGCAAACUUUAAAUGGUCCAAGUAUGGCUUCACUAACCCUGAUGCUAGUUUCUCGGUGAAUCCAUCACUUGAAACAAGCAACUCACAUCUGCCAAUUUAACAUAUAAAGAGAAGAAAAAACAACGAAACACGAUCAUAACUCUAGUCAGAAGAAAAAGCAUAUAACAAGCAGAAAAUCCAAUGAAUGUUAUCCGCACCUUGAACGCUUCGGAGACAAUUGCAACACAGCAUAGUCAAGAAGUGUGUCAGACCUCAUUUUUGUCUAUUUAAGGUAACACUUACACCACUCUUCAGAUCAUUUCCAGUUUCACCGUCAUUUUCGUCAAAAAACCAAUCAUAAUCAACAAAACU